rnacentral:rRNA from 1 species
ACCAUAGCCUUACCACCAUGGACACCCCCGAUCUCAUCUCAUUUCGGAAGCUAAGCAUGGUCGGGCCUGGUUAGUACUUGGAUGCGAGACCGCCUGGGAAUACCAGGUGCUGUAAGUG